rnacentral:rRNA from 1 species
UCCUGGCUCAGGAUGAACGCUGGCGGCGUGCCUAAUACAUGCAAGUCGAGCGAACUGAUUAGAAGCUUGCUUCUAUGACGUUAGCGGCGGACGGGUGAGUAACACGUGGGCAACCUGCCUGUAAGACUGGGAUAACUUCGGGAAACCGAAGCUAAUACCGGAUAGGAUCUUCUCCUUCAUGGGAGAUGAUUGAAAGAUGGUUUCGGCUAUCACUUACAGAUGGGCCCGCGGUGCAUUAGCUAGUUGGUGAGGUAACGGCUCACCAAGGCAACGAUGCAUAGCCGACCUGAGAGGGUGAUCGKCCACACUGGGAYUGAGACACGGCCCAGACUCCUACGGGAGGCAGCAGUAGGGAAUCUUCCGCAAUGGACGAAAGUCUGACGGAGCAACGCCGCGUGAGUGAKGAAGGCUUUCGGGUCGUAAAACUCUGUUGUUAGGGAAGAACAAGUACGAGAGUAACUGCUCGUACCUUGACGGUACCUAACCAGAAAGCCACGGCUAACUACGUGCCAGCAGCCGCGGUAAUACGUAGGUGGCAAGCGUUAUCCGGAAUUAUUGGGCGUAAAGCGCGCGCAGGCGGUUUCUUAAGUCUGAUGUGAAAGCCCACGGCUCAACCGUGGAGGGUCAUUGGAAACUGGGGAACUUGAGUGCAGAAGAGAAAAGCGGAAUUCCACGUGUAGCGGUGAAAUGCGUAGAGAUGUGGAGGAACACCAGUGGCGAAGGCGGCUUUUUGGUCUGUAACUGACGCUGAGGCGCGAAAGCGUGGGGAGCAAACAGGAUUAGAUACCCUGGUAGUCCACGCCGUAAACGAUGAGUGCUAAGUGUUAGAGGGUUUCCGCCCUUUARUGCUGCAGCUAACGCAUUAAGCACUCCGCCUGGGGAGUACGGUCGCAAGACUGAAACUCAAAGGAAUUGACGGGGGCCCGCACAAGCGGUGGAGCAUGUGGUUUAAUUCGAAGCAACGCGAAGAACCUUACCAGGUCUUGACAUCCUCUGACAACUCUAGAGAUAGAGCGUUCCCCUUCGGGGGACAGAGUGACAGGUGGUGCAUGGUUGUCGUCAGCUCGUGUCGUGAGAUGUUGGGUUAAGUCCCGCAACGAGCGCAACCCUUGAUCUUAGUUGCCAGCAUUUAGUUGGGCACUCUAAGGUGACUGCCGGUGACAAACCGGAGGAAGGUGGGGAUGACGUCAAAUCAUCAUG